GAGACUCUAGGUAGAAUCUUUCCUUGCUUCUGCCUAGUUUCUGAUGGUAGCCGGCAAUCGUGGGUGCUCCUUGGCUUGCAGCUGUAUCAUUUAUAUCUCUGCUCUGUCCUUCCAUGGUGUCCUCCCUGUGUGUAUGUCUUCAUAUCGUCCCUUUUCUUAUAAGUGCAUGGGUCAUAUUGGGUUAAGGGCCACCUUUCUCUACUAUGACCUCAUCUUAACUAACUGUACCUGCAAUGACCUUAUUUCCAAAUAAGGUCACUUUCUGAGACACAGGGGGUUAGAACCCAACAUAUCUUUCUGGAACACAAAAUUCUAUCCAUGGUAGCUCUCUAGGAAGUUUGAGAGGUUGGACUUAUGAAAGUCAAUGGCAGCUGGCCAUUGUGAGGUCAUCGAAUCAAGCACUUCCUGCUCUGCACCUGCCCUGCAGCAGCCCACUCCCAGACAUCUGCGAACUGUGGUCAUCCAUCCCAGGUUGGAAUGCUUCUCCGUGGUGCACGUACUUCUGCAGGAUCCUAGUUUUGUUGUGGGAGAUAGAGAGGCAACAUGGAGAGAGGAGGUGUCCUCAGAAAUGUGUGCAUGACACAAAUCACCCAACUUGCUGCAGGUUCAGAUUCCUGGGACUCAAGCUCUAGAGAUGCUGUUGGCCAUUCAAUCAUAGGUGUUCAAGUGGCUAUAUUUUGAGAAACACUUACACAGAGAAGAGUCCAGAAACAGAAGCCGACUGACCUUUCCAAGACGGCUUUUGAGCUCUGUGUUUCCCUUCUUCGGCGUGAAGGCCUUAAGCAAGAUGGAGAGGAUGAUUCCACAUUCCGUGAGCUGCCUUGCGUUCCAUUCCUUAAGGAAGUGGCAUGCUGAUGCCAAAGUUACCUUAAUUAUCAGACCAAAUAAACAAGCAAACUGUGA